AUUCCCCAAUUUUAGAUCAAAGAACUCUUAGAGGGAAACCUUUUGCAAACUACAAAACCUUUAUCAUAACGCCAGAACCUGCUCACUCCCCACGGAAAGAGAAGAGCAGCAGGAAUGUUGGAAUACAGACAGUUUAUAGAAAAUACAGAAAAUGUUAGAUGCAACCAUAGGUCGACCAAUUAGAACAGACAAAAUGUCCACAGACUGCAAGAGCAGAAUGGCAUGUUUACAGAAGAGGUUAAGGGUUGGCCAGUCUCUUGAGAUCACAGCACUUUUGGUGUCAUGUGUUCAACACCAGUGUGACGGGUUUUACAUACCUCAUGCUUUGUCAUCUCCAAGGUUGGAACCCCACUGUGGCAGACUUUCCACGUCCCUGCUCUACAGUUCCUAAGGCAACCGGGAGAUCAGUUAAUCCCUUAGCAAGCAUUGGGUGUUAACCCAGAUCCAGGAUCUCUCAUAUGGUAGCCCAAGUUGUUGAGCUUCCGUACAGUCUUCGUGCCCGAGCCUCCCAAAUGUGGGAUCACAAGGGUGAGCCCCAGGCUAGUGCCAAAUUGCUGUCAACAAACUUCCAAAGCCAUUUCUGCCUUUAACAUGCCCAUCAGCUGGAGAGAUGGCUCGGAAGCUAAGAGCGUGGUUUUGCUUCUGCAUAGGACCCAGGCUCUGUUCCAGCACCUGUAUCGUGGCUCACAAUCAUCUGGAACUCCAGUUUCCAGGAGAUCUGAUGGCUGGUGGGAUGACAAAAUAGAGCCAAAGGUUACAAGGCACCCAGGAGCCCAAUGUUGCAGUAUUAUGUGUGAGCCAACUGUCAGCUUUCACGGUGCCCUGUUCCAGAUCCUGGAAGCAAUACCUCACAUCAGCCACCCCUGGAGCUUCUUUUCCGCAUACUGAGGGGAGUUGGGAGUUCCCUGGUUAAAUGGUCUUUCCUGGUGUCAUCUUGGUUUGCCUGUCAUCUUGGUUUGCUGGCUUCCGAAUCUUUAGCGUCACCCCAACAACUGUUCUUGGGUUUUGUUUGUUUGAGGAGGAUUUUUUUGGACCUGAAAAGACUUGAACUUGUCUUUGUCAACAGGGACAGUGUGUCUAGUCUGGUGGCUCUGAGGGCUUUGCCUGGCAACUAACCAAACCCCGCCUCCUCUCAUGAGGUCUUGUCAGAGAGUCUUUUCUCAGCAGGGAGUCUCACACACCCCCUCCUCAACGGUCAGGAAAAGGGUCCCAAUGAAGCCUGCUGCAGACAUUCAUCUGGAAAGAUGUCUUGUUUCUGUGUAUGGGGAGAAGGGCCACCGGGAGCCCAGCAGCCAGUGAACAAAGGCCGCAGAAGAGAACAGCUUCAUCAAGACUUCCCUGCUGACUGUUUUAUUAUGUCCAUAUGAUUAUCUUUCGGAGUAAGGAAAAGCAACAGGCUAUCUCCUUUCAGUCAUUACACUGUUUCUUAGCAAGGAGUGCCAAGUCCAGGUGAAAACAUGGUUCCCCGUGGACUGUGGUUCCCUUUACCUACAGGAUGGAGGAUGAGCUGAGCCCUUAACCAAUGGCAACCACUUCUGCAUACUGCCGUCCACCAUGUUUGCUGUCUGUCCUACGCAAGUCUGCUGUCACCUAGGAUCUCGCCAAGCCUCCAAGGACACGACUGGACAAGUGCCGUUAUUUCCAGAAGACAUGAGUGAGGUGCACACAGGGCCCUGAAGAGAAGACAGAUACAUUAAGCUGCCCUCAACACAGUAGACAAAGAAGCCAUAAUGUGUUUCCAUGACAGAGAGUUAUCAGAAAGUAAUACUGACCCAUGUUUUUUGAAGAAGCCAAGGACAGUGGUCACCCUUGCGGGACCAGAGAAAAGAGAAAGGGAAGGGACAGAGAUGGGGAAAGAAUAGGAAGGAGCCAUCUGGGACAUGGAGGCUUUGGGCGGGCUCGCUGUACAAAAAUGCUUCAGGUUUGUGUAUAAUUUGUAUACGCUCACAUAAGCUUCCGCAUACACAAUUAUGUCUCAGUUACCUCAAGGGGCUGGAAGUGGUUCAACAGUUAAGAACUGGACUUACUAUUCUUGCUAAGGCUGCAACUUGGUUCCUGGCACCUGCAUUAGACAGUUUACAAUUGCCUGGAACCCCAACUCCAAGACGUCCAAUCCUCUCUUCUGAACUUUGCUGGUAUCCACACCCCCACACAUAUUAUACAUAAUCACUCAGAAGACAAAUAGGGAUAAUUUGAA